rnacentral:rRNA from 1 species
CCUACGGGAGGCAGCAGUGGGGAAUAUUGGGCAAUGGGCGCAAGCCUGACCCAGCAACGCCGCGUGGAGGAAGAAGGCCCUCGGCUUGUAAAGUUCUGUUAUCAGGGAAGAGUAGAAGACGAUACCUGACGAAUAAGCCACGGCUAACUACGUGCCAGCAGCCGCGGUAAUACGUAGGUGGCAAGCGAUGUCCGGACUUACUGGGUGUAAAGGGCGUGUAGCCGGGUUGACAAGUCAGAUGUGAAAUCCUGCGGCUUAACCGCAGAACUGCAUUUGAAACUGUUGCUCUGGAGUACUGGAGAGGCAGACGGAAUUCCUAGUGUAGCGGUGAAAUGCGUAGAUAUUAGGAGGAACACCAGUGGCGAAGGCGGUCUGCUGGACAGCAACUGACGGUGAGGCGCGAAAGCGUGGGGAGCAAACAGGAUUAGAUACCCUAGUAGUC